rnacentral:rRNA from 5 species
GGGUAGUUUGACUGGGGCGGUCUCCUCCUAAAGAGUAACGGAGGAGCACGAAGGUUGGCUAAUCCUGGUCGGACAUCAGGAGGUUAGUGCAAUGGCAUAAGCCAGCUUGACUGCGAGCGUGACGGCGCGAGCAGGUGCGAAAGCAGGUCAUAGUGAUCCGGUGGUUCUGAAUGGAAGGGCCAUCGCUCAACGGAUAAAAGGUACUCCGGGGAUAACAGGCUGAUACCGCCCAAGAGUUCAUAUCGACGGCGGUGUUUGGCACCUCGAUGUCGGCUCAUCACAUCCUGGGGCUGAAGUAGGUCCCAAGGGUAUGGCUGUUCGCCAUUUAAAGUGGUACGCGAGCUGGGUUUAGAACGUCGUGAGACAGUUCGGUCCCUAUCUGCCGUGGGCGCUGGAAGAUUGAGGGGGGCUGCUCCUAGUACGAGAGGACCGGAGUGGACGCAUCACUGGUGUUCGGGUUGUCAUGCCAAUGGCACUGCCCGGUAGCUACAUGCGGAAGAGAUAAGUGCUGAAAGCAUCUAAGCACGAAACUUGCCCCGAGAUGAAUCUUCCCUGAGCCUUUAAGGCUCCUGAAGGAACGUUGAAG